AUUGAACGCUGGCGGCAGGCCUAACACAUGCAAGUCGAACGAGUGGCGGACGGGUGAGUAAUGUCUGGGAAACUGCCCGAUGGGGGGGGAUAACUACUGGAAACGGUAGCUAAUACCGCAUACCAUCGGAUGUGCCCCGAGGGGAUUAGCUUGUAGGUUAGGUAACGGCUCACCUAGGCGACGAUCCCUAGCUGGUCUGAGAGGAUGACCAGCCAAACGGGAACUGAGACACGGUCCAGACUCCUACGGGAGGCAGCAGUGGGGAAGAUGGCACAAUGGGCGAAAGCAUGAUACAGCCAUGCCGCGUGUAUGAAGAAGGACUUCGGGUUGGAAAGUACGUUCAGCGGGGAGGCGGUACCCGCAGAAGAAGCACCGGCUAACUCCGUGCCAGCAGCCGCGGUAAUUC
rnacentral:rRNA from 1 species